rnacentral:rRNA from 1 species
CCUACGGGAGGCUGCAGUGAGGAAUAUUGGUCAAUGGGCUUACGCCUGAACCAGCCAAGUCGCGUGAGGGAAGACUGCCCUAUGGGUUGUAAACCUCUUUUGUCAGGGAGCAACGCCGGCUACGUGUAGCCGGACUGAGAGUACCUGAAGAAAAAGCAUCGGCUAACUCCGUGACAGCAGCCGCGGUAAUACGGAGGAUGCGAGCGUUAUCCGGCUUUAUUGGGUUUAAAGGGUGCGUAGGCGGAAUGCCAAGUCAGCGGUAAAAUCGCGGGGCUCAACCUCGCUCCGCCGUUGAAACUGGCGUUCUUGAGUGGGCGAGAAGUAUGCGGAAUGCGUGGGGUAGCGGUGAAAUGCAUAGAUAUCACGCAGAACUCCGAUUGCGAAGGCAGCAUACCGGCGCCCAACUGACGCUGAAGCACGAAAGCGUGGGUAUCGAACAGGAUUAGAUACCCGGGUAGUC